GAUGAAGAACGUAGCGAAAUGCGAUAAGUAAUGCGAAUUGCAGAAUUCCAGUGAGUCAUCGAAUCUUUGAACGCACAUUGCGCCCUUUGGUAUUCCGAAGGGCAUGCCUGUUCGAGCGUCAUUAUCACCCCUCAAGCCCUCGGCUUGGUGUUGGACGGUUUGGUGGAGGCCCCCUCGGGGGUUCCUGCCCCUCCCAAAGACAAUGACGGCGGCCUCGUUGGACCCCCGGUACACUGAGUUCUUCACGGGACACGUAUCGGACACAUGGGUUUACGGGACACGGUCUGCCUCCCCUCAGGGAGAAUCUUUCUAAGGUUGACCUCGGAUCAGGUAGGGAUACCCGCUGAACUUAAGCAUAUCAAUAAGGGAGGA
rnacentral:misc_RNA from 1 species